CCGAAAACAGCUAUUUUAUUUGGAGAUCAAAUGCAGUCAUCCGAAUUUUCAAUGUGUACAACUGCAGCUCAACUUCUUAUAAAUGUCCUGGAUCAUUUAGUCACCCCAGUCUUUGUAAGCCCAACGCUAGAGGACAACCAUGUCUUUGUCAUAUAUGUCGGUGCUAUGUGGGCAACGGACGUUUAUGCACAAGCGCCAAACACAACAAUUGACGAGUUCACAGUGACAGGAAGACGUCAGGAAGGUAUACAUAU